rnacentral:rRNA from 1 species
UACAGAGGUCCCGAGCGUUGUUCGGAUUCAUUGGGCGUAAAGGGUGCGUAGGCGGCGGGGAAAGUCUGAUGUGAAAUCCUGGGGCUCAACCCUGGAACUGCAUUGGAUACUUCCUUGCUAGAGUACUGGAGAGGAAACUGGAAUUUACGGUGUAGCAGUGAAAUGCGUAGAGAUCGUAAGGAAGACCAGUGGCGAAGGCGAGUUUCUGGACAGUUACUGACGCUGAGGUGCGAAAGCGUGGGGAGCAAACAGG